rnacentral:rRNA from 1 species
GAUGAACGCUGGCGGCGUGCCUAAUACAUGCAAGUCGAGCGAACAGACGAGGAGCUUGCUCCUCUGACGUUAGCGGCGGACGGGUGAGUAACACGUGGAUAACCUACCUAUAAGACUGGGAUAACUUCGGGAAACCGGAGCUAAUACCGGAUAAUAUAUUGAACCGCAUGGGUCAAUAGUGAAAGACGGUUUUGCUGUCACUUAUAGCUGGAUCCGCGCCGCAUUAGCUAGUUGGUAACGUAACGGCUUACCAAGGCAACGAUGCCUAGCCGACCCGAGGGGGGGUACGCCGCCAGAGGAGCUGACACACGGCCCAGAGUCCGAGGGGAGGCAGCAGUAGGGACGCGAGCGAGCAGGGCGAAAGCCUGAAGGAGCAACGCAGCGUGAGUGAUGAAGGGCUUCGGAUCGUAAAACUCUGUUAUGAGGGAAGAACAAAUGUGUAAGUAACUAAGCACGUCUGAACGGAACCGAAUCAGAAGGCCCCGGCUAAUUACGG